rnacentral:rRNA from 1 species
GAUGAACGCUGGCGGCGUGCCUAACACAUGCAAGUCGAACGAGAAUCAACGGAUUGAGGAUUCGUCCAAAUGAAGUUGAGGAAAGUGGCGGACGGGUGAGUAACGCGUGAGGAACCUGCCUCGGAGUGGGGAAUAACAGUGAGAAAUCACUGCUAAUACCGCAUAAGCUGUGAGUAUCGCAUGAUACAAGCAGAAAAGGAGCAAUCCGCUGAUAGAUGGGCUUGCGUCUGAUUAGUUUAGUUGGUAGGGUAACGGCCUACCAAGACGAUGAUCAGUAGCUGGACUGAGAGGUUGAACGGCCACAUUGGGACUGAGAUACGGCCCAG